ensembl:snRNA U6 U6 spliceosomal RNA
GUGCUCACUUCAGCAGCACAUACAUUAAAAUUAGAAUGAUACAGAGAUUAACAUGGCCCCUGUGUAAGGAUGACACACAAAUUCGUGAAGUGUUCCAUAUUAAA